GGCUUUUUGAUAAUAAUUUAAGGUCGGACCUGCCCAAUGAUUAAUUAAAUGGCCGCGGUAUAUUGACCGUGCAAAGGUAGCAUAAUCAUUAGUUUUUUAAUUGAAAGCUUGUAUGAAGGGUUUAAUGAGAAAAGUACUGUCUCUAUUUAAAUUUAUUAGAAUUUUAUAUUUAAGUUAAAAAGCUUAAAUUUAUAUUGAAGACGAGAAGACCCUAUAGAGUUUAAUAUUUUGUGUAGUAAUUAGAUAUUAAGAAUUUUAAAGAUUAUUAUGGGAAGUGUUUAAUUGGGGUGAUUGAAAAAUUAGUUUAACUUUUUUUGUAUUAUUACAUUGAUUAAUGAGUUUAUGAUCUUUUAGUUAAGAUAAAAAGAUACAAUUACCUUAGGGAUAACAGCGUAAUUUUUUUUAGAGUUCUUAUCGAAAGAAAAGAUUGCGACCUCGAUGUUGGAUUAAAAUGAAUUGUUGGUGAAGAAGCUGGCAAAGUUGGGUCUGUUCGACCUUUAAAUUUUUACAUGAUCUGAGUUUAAACCGGUGUAAG
rnacentral:rRNA from 1 species